AAUCAACGCUGGCGGCGUGCCUAACACAUGCAAGUCGAACGCGAAAGGGGCUUCGGCCCUGAGUAGAGUGGCGAACGGGUGAGUAACACGUGGUGAUCUACCUCUGAGUGGGGGAUAACGUUCCGAAAGGAGCGCUAAUACCGCAUGACGUCCCGGGUUUGAAGACCUGGACACCAAAGUCGGGGACCGCAAGGCCUGACGCUUGGAGAGGAGCCCGCGCCUGAUUAGCUAGUUGGUGGGGUAACGGCUCACCAAGGCGACGAUCAGUAGCCGGCCUGAGAGGGCGGACGGCCACACUGGGACUGAGACACGGCCCAGACUCCUACGGGAGGCAGCAGUGGGGAAUUGUUCGCAAUGGGCGCAAGCCUGACGACGCAAUGCCGCGUGGAGGAUGAAGGUCUUCGGAUUGUAAACUCCUGUUGACCGGGAAGAACGGACCCCGCCCUAACAGGGCGGGGGAGUGACGGUACCGGUUGAGGAAGCCACGGCUAACUCUGUGCCAGCAGCCGCGGUAAUAC
rnacentral:rRNA from 1 species